rnacentral:rRNA from 1 species
AUGUCAGAUGCAAAGCCCCGCACCUCAUUAAGAUCAUAUUGGCAUACUCUCCUAAAAAAAGAGCAGACCCCAUUGAAGACGGGAGUGAGGUACAACAAGGCCAUUUCCGUCCACCUUCUCACGGAGCCGUACGUGGACGUUACCGCUCAUACAGCUCCCGGCCAGCAAGCAGUUAGCUUUCCUCUAGAAGUCAUGGAAGUGUGGAUAAAUCGACAGAAGGUUUUUAUUUCUGAAAAAAUCGCCCUAACCGUCCUAAAUAUGGACGGAGAGCGGUCUUGA